CCUACGGGUGGCAGCAGUCGAGAAUCAUUCACAAUGGGGGAAACCCUGAGGGUGCGACGCCGCGUGGGGGAAUGAAGGUCUUGGGAUUGUAACCCCCUGUCAUGGGGGAGCAAAUUAAAAAGAUAGUACCCAAAGGGGAAGAGACGGCUAACUCUGUGCAAGCAGCCGCGGUAAUACAGGGGUCUCAAGCGUUGUUCGGAAUAACUGGGCGUAAAGCGUGCGUAGGCUGUUUCGUAAGUCGUGUGUGAAAGGCGCGGGCUCAACCCGCGGACGGCACAUGAUACUGCGAGACUAGAGUAAUGGAGGGGGAACCGGAAUUCUCGGUGUAGCAGUGAAAUGCGUAGAUAUCAGGAGGAACACCGGCGGCGAAGGCGGCCUGCUGGACUGAAACUGACGUUGAGGCUCGAAAGCGUGGGGAGCAAACAGGAUUAGAUACCCUUGUAGUC
rnacentral:rRNA from 1 species